rnacentral:rRNA from 1 species
AGCAGUAGCCGCGGGAAAACAGAGGGUGCGAGCGUUAAUCGGAUUUACUGGGCGUAAAGCGUGCGUAGGCGGCUUCUUAAGUCGGAUGUGAAAUCCCUGAGCUUAACUUAGGAAUUGCAUUCGAUACUGGGAAGCUAGAGUAUGGGAGAGGAUGGUAGAAUUCCAGGUGUAGCGGUGAAAUGCGUAGAGAUCUGGAGGAAUACCGAUGGCGAAGGCAGCCAUCUGGCCUAAUACUGACGCUGAGGUACGAAAGCAUGGGGAGCAAACAGGAUUAGAGACCCGAGUAGUCCCUGUCUCUUAUAC